UGCCUUACACAUGCAACUCCAACGGCAGCAUGGUCUAGCUUGCUAGACUGAUGGCGAGUGGCGGACGGGUGAGUAACGCGUAGGAAUAUGCCUUAAAGAGGGGGAUAACUUGGGGAAACUCAAGCUAAUACCGCAUAAGCUCUUAGGAGGGAAGCUGGGGACCUUCGGGCCUGGCGCUUUAAGAAUAGCCUGCGUACGAUUAGCUAGUUGGUGGGGUAAGGGCCUACCAAGGCGACGAUCGUUAGCUGGUCUGAGAGGAUGGCCAGCCACACUGGAACUGAGACACGGUCCAGACUCCUACGGGAGGCAGCAGUGGGGAAUUUUGGACAAUGGGCGAAAGCCUGAUCCAGCCAUGCCGCGUGCAGGAUGAAGGCCUUCGGGUUGUAAACUGC
rnacentral:rRNA from 1 species